AUGUACAUCACUUAGGGAUUUUUAAAAUACAGAUUCUAACUCAGUAGGUGUAGGAUGAAGGCUGAGAUUCUAUGCUUUUAACAAGUUAUCACAUGAUCAUGCU
rnacentral:pre_miRNA from 1 species